CAUUUCUUAAUCUUUGAACCAGCCUUCGGUCCAGGAGAUAAGAUACAAUGAGAUGAGAGGAAGAUCAAGCCUGGUUAUAUCAGCUGUGUCGGUGAACCCCUCCCACAUCUGAACUGGCUGACACAUAGAGGGAAAAGCAUGAUCAGAGGUAUGUUUUGAUGUGAGAGAGGGUGCCAACCCCAAGUCCCGUCAUCACGAUCUCACCCACACUUAAGAUAACCUUCGGGCCAACUGGGACCCAAGGCUGUUAGGAGACACCGCUAGAGACACUAUUAUGUAAUUGUGAUGAACUGAGAGAAUAUUAGGGUAGCACUGUGAUUCAUUAAUCAUAUGCUGUCUUCCCUGCUCCUCUGUUCUUACCUCUUUCCCUUUCUGUCUUUUACACGCUCUCACACCUCUCUCUCCACCUCCUCUUUCUGCCUGUUUUUAUAAUGCACACCAGAUGUGCAUUGAAGUACAGA